rnacentral:rRNA from 1 species
AUACAUGCAAGUCGAACGAGUUCUCGUUGAUGAUCGGUGCUUGCACCGAGAUUCAACAUGGAACGAGUGGCGGACGGGUGAGUAACACGUGGGUAACCUGCCCUUAAGUGGGGGAUAACAUUUGGAAACAGAUGCUAAUACCGCAUAGAUCCAAGAACCGCAUGGUUCUUGGCUGAAAGAUGGCGUAAGCUAUCGCUUUUGGAUGGACCCGCGGCGUAUUAGCUAGUUGGUGAGGUAAUGGCUCACCAAGGCGAUGAUACGUAGCCGAACUGAGAGGUUGAUCGGCCACAUUGGGACUGAGACACGGCCCAAACUCCUACGGGAGGCAGCAGUAGGGAAUCUUCCACAAUGGACGCAAGUCUGAUGGAGCAACGCCGCGUGAGUGAAGAAGGCUUUCGGGUCGUAAAACUCUGUUGUUGGAGAAGAAUGGUCGGCAGAGUAACUGUUGUCGGCGUGACGGUAUCCAACCAGAAAGCCACGGCUAACUACGUGCCAGCAGCCGCGGUAAUACGUAGGUGGCAAGCGUUAUCCGGAUUUAUUGGGCGUAAAGCGAGCGCAGGCGGUUUUUUAAGUCUGAUGUGAAAGCCCUCGGCUUAACCGAGGAAGCGCAUCGGAAACUGGGAAACUUGAGUGCAGAAGAGGACAGUGGAACUCCAUGUGUAGCGGUGAAAUGCGUAGAUAUAUGGAAGAACACCAGU